GAUGAACGCUGGCGGCGUGCCUAAUACAUGCAAGUCGGACGCACCACUUCGGUGGUGAGUGGCGAACGGGUGAGUAAUACAUAAGUAACCUGCCCUUGCGAGGGGGAUAACUAUUAGAAAUGAUAGCUAAGACCGCAUAGGUAUAUGUGUCGCAUGACGCAUAUAUUAAAAAUCCCACGGGAUUGCGCAAGGAUGGACCCGCGUUGGAUUAGCUAGUUGGUGAGAUAACAGCCCACCAAGGCGACGAUCCAUAGCCGGCCUGAGAGGGUGAACGGCCACAUUGGGACUGAGACACGGCCCAAACUCCUACGGGAGGCAGCAGUGGGGAAUAUUGCACAAUGGGCGCAAGCCUGAUGCAGCGACGCCGCGUGAAGGAUGAAGGUCUUCGGAUUGUAAACUUCUAUCAGCAGGGAAGAAUAAAUGACGGUACCUGACUAAGAAGCUCCGGCUAACUACGUG
rnacentral:rRNA from 1 species